rnacentral:rRNA from 1 species
GAUGAACGCUAGCGGGAGGCUUAACACAUGCAAGUCGAGGGGCAUCACGAGGUAGCAAUACUUUGGUGGCGACCGGCGCACGGGUGAGUAAUGCGUGGAUAAUCUGCCCUUUAGUUGGGAAUAACGUACCGAAAGGUGCGCUAAUACCUGAUAAUACUGCAUAACUACUGUUGUGUAGUCAAAGAAGGCCUCUGUUUACAAGCUUUUGCUGAAGGAUGAGUCCGCGUACCAUUAGCUGGUUGGUGGGGUAAUGGCCUACCAAGGCUACGAUGGUUAGCUGGUCUGAGAGGAUGAUCAGCCACACUGGAACUGAGACACGGUCCAGACUCCUACGGGAGGCAGCAGUGAGGAAUAUUGCGCAAUGGGGGCAACCCUGACGCAGCAACGCCGCGUGAGUGAGGAAGGUUUUCGGACCGUAAAGCUCUGUCGAGCGGGAAGAAAUGUAUCAUGGCUAAUAUCCAUGAUACUUGACGGUACCGCUAAAA